rnacentral:rRNA from 1 species
UACGAAGGGGGCUAGCGUUAAUCGGAAUUACUGGGCGUAAAGCGUGCGUAGACGGUUAUGUAAGUCAGGUGUGAAAGCCCCGGGCUCAACCUGGGAAUUGCAUUUGAGACUGCAUAGCUAGGGUGCGGAAGAGGGAAGCGGAAUUUCCGGUGUAGCGGUGAAAUGCGUAGAUAUCGGAAGCAACACCAGUGGCGAAAGCGGCUUCCUGGUCCAGCACCGACGUUCAGGCACGAAAGCGUGGGGAGCAAACAGG